rnacentral:rRNA from 1 species
AGUGAACGCUGGCGGUAGGCCUAACACAUGCAAGUCGAACGGCAGCACAGGAGAGCUUGCUCUCUGGGUGGCGAGUGGCGGACGGGUGAGGAAUACAUCGGAAUCUACUCUGUCGUGGGGGAUAACGUAGGGAAACUUACGCUAAUACCGCAUACGACCUACGGGUGAAAGCAGGGGACCUUCGGGCCUUGCGCGAUUGAAUGAGCCGAUGUCGGAUUAGCUAGUUGGCGGGGUAAAGGCCCACCAAGGCGACGAUCCGUAGCUGGUCUGAGAGGAUGAUCAGCCACACUGGAACUGAGACACGGUCCAGACUCCUACGUGAGGCAGCAGUGGGGAAUAUUGGACAAUGGGCGCAAGCCUGAUCCAGCCAUACCGCGUGGGUGAAGAAGGCCUUCGGGUUGUAAAGCCCUUUUGUUGAGAAAGAAAUCCAGCUGGCUAAUACCCGGUUGGGAUGACGGUACCCUAAGAAUAAGCACCGGCUAACUUCGUGCCAGCCGCCGCGGUAA